rnacentral:rRNA from 1 species
AGUUCAUACUCGUAGCGGAAAGCUCAGUAACACGUGCCCUUACUACCCUGUAGACCGUCAUAACCUCGGGAAACUGAGGCUAAUAACGGGUACGCAACAGCAGUUGGAAUACGCUGUUGAGAAAACGCUCAGGCGCUACAGGAUGUGGCUGCGGCCGAUUAGGUAGACGGUGGGGUAACGGCCCACCGUGCCAAUAAUCGGUACGGGUUGUGAGAGCAAGAGCCCGGAGACGGAAUCUGAGACAAGAUUCCGGGCCCUACGGGGCGCAGCAGGCGCGAAACCUUUACACUGCACGCCAGUGCGAUAGGGGGAUCCCAAGUGCGAGGGCAUAUUAGCCCUCGCUUUUGUGAACCGUAAGGCGGUUCACGAAUAAGAGCUGGGCAAGACCGGUGCCAGCCGCCGCGGUAAUACCGGCAGCUCGAGUGAUGACCGAUUUUAUUGGGCCUAAAGCGUCCGUAGCUGGCCGUACAAGUCCGUCGGGAAAUCUACCUGCCCAACAGGUAGGCGUCCGGCAGAAACUGUAUGGCUUGGAACCGGAAGGCGUGAAGGGUACGUCUGGGGUAGGAGUGAAAUCCUGUAAUCCCAGACGGACCACCGAUGGCGAAAGCACUUCACGAGGACGGAUUCGACAGUGAGGGACGAAAGCUAGGGUCUCGAACCGGAUUAGAUACCCGGGUAGUCCUAGCCGUANACGAUGUCUGUUAGGUGUGACUCCCACUACGAGUGGGUGUUGUGCCGUANGGAAGCCGC